rnacentral:rRNA from 1 species
AGAGUUUGAUCAUGGCUCAGAACGAACGCUGGCGGCAGGCUCAACACAUGCAAGUCGAACGCCCCGCAAGGGGAGUGGCAGACGGGUGAGUAACACGUGGGAACGUACCUUUCGGUUCGGAAUAACUCAGGGAAACUUGAGCUAAUACCGGAUACGUCCGCAAGGAGAAAGAUUUAUUGCCGAAAGAUCGGCCCGCGUAGGAUUAGCUAGUUGGUGAGGUAAUGGCUCACCAAGGCGACGAUCCUUAGCUGGUCUGAGAGGAUGAUCAGCCACACUGGGACUGAGACACGGCCCAGACUCCUACGGGAGGCAGCAGUGGGGAAUAUUGGACAAUGGGCGAAAGCCUGAUCCAGCCAUGCCGCGUGAAUGAUGAAGGCCUUAGGGUUGUAAAGAUCUUUCAGUGGGGAAGAUAAUGACUUACCCACAGAAGAGCCUGAUGCCUU